rnacentral:lncRNA from 1 species
CAUGUUUCCUAAAGCAAAGGUCAAAGAAUCCUCGGAAGCCCUAAAAAACACUGUUUCUGUGGAUAGAGCCUGAGCUUUUGUUUUGCUGUUUGUUCUGAAAAUCCAAAUCGGUAACCCCUGUUUUCAGGUAUUAUCCAAAGGAACAUUUUUUGGUUUCUUCUACCCACAUACUCCCAAAUUAGGCACCUACCUUAAAGUAACAGGAAAACUCGUGGGUUUGUAAUUGUGUGAUAUCCCAUCUGGUUUCAACUCUGUCGCUGACCAAAAAGAAAGGAUGAAAAAUGUAAGCAAACUUCUGUAAACUGCAACUACAAAUUAGGAGGAAUAGGCUAAGCAUCAUUUGAUGUUUGUCUGCACAUCAGUCAAGUGAGGGUUCAGAGUCAUCUGCUGAAUUUGGCCUCU